AGCUUACGUGAAAUAAAUUUAACUAAAGGAGGAAAAUUAAUACAUAUACAAGAUUGAGAGGUUUCAUUCUCAUGUUUGGCAUAAUUUUAGCUGCAUCAUCUUCUGAAAAACCUUCAACUGCACAAGCGAGACACAAGAAAUUAAAGCUCACUGCUUUGGCAUUACUUAAGAGCAUGAAACAACAGAAAAUAAAGUGAAAUUACAAAAAGGUGAUUUGUAUUGAAAAAUAGAAGCAGAUCUUGUAUUGAACAUAAAUUUAUAUAUAAAUUGAUAUGGGUUUUCAAUUAAACAUAUGCACAAAACUCAAAAAAGUCGCUGAAAUUAGAGAAAGCAUUAGGUCACCAGCGGCUAUAUGAGAUUAGGGAGAGAAAUCAGAUGUGCGAUUCUUCCUCCACAAAACUCCAUUCUGCACAUCAAUUUUUUCAUAAAAGAAAAAGGGAAAAAUUAGGGAUUUUACCACAAACCUGAUAGAUGAGAUUCACAUCUUGAUUUGAGAGAUUUAGAGCUGGGUAAAAUUUUAGCAGAGAAGGGAUUUUAGAGAGAGGGAGGAGAGAUUUUAGAGAGAGAGAGAAAAGUGUUUGAGCGUCUCUAUUUUGUGUCCAUUAAUUAGGAAGAGUUUUAUUUAAUUUAUUUAGUUAUUUUCAACUAAAAUAUAAGGG
rnacentral:lncRNA from 1 species